rnacentral:rRNA from 1 species
UACGAAGGUGGCGAGCGUUGUUCGGAAUCACUGGGCAUAAAGCGCACGUAGGCGGCGACGUAAGUUGGGUGUGAAAUCCCUCGGCCCAACCGAGGAACUGCGCCCAGUACUGCGUUGCUUGAGGAUCCAAGGGGUGCAUGGAAUUCCCGGUGGAGCGGUGAAAUGCGUUGAUAUCGGGAGGAACUCCGGCGGCGAAAGCGGUGCACUGGUGGAUUACUGACGCUGAGG